GGGGAAGGGAGACAUUUGGGGGAAGCUCUGCUCCAGCUGUGGGGCCACAGAAGGCAGGACUCGGUGAUCAUCUCCACCAUGGCCUGGUCCCCUCUCCUCCUCACCCUCAUCGCUCACUGCACAGGAUCCUGGGCCCAGUCUGUGCUGACUCAGCCGCCCUCCGUGUCUGGGGCCCCGGGACAGAGUGGCACCAUCUCCUGCACUGGAAGCAGCUCCAACAUUGGUAGUAAUAGUGUGUACUGGUACCAGCAGUUCCCAGGAAAGGCCCCCAAACUCCUCAUCUACCGUAACAGCAAUAGACCCUCAGGGGUCCCCGACCGAUUCUCUGGCUCCAAGUCUGGCAGCUCGGCCUCCCUGACCAUCAGUGGGCUCCGGGCUGAGGACGAGGCCGAUUAUUACUGCUCAGCGUGGGAUGACAGUCUGAAUGGUGACACAGUGCUCCAGGCCUGUGGGGAAGUGAGACACAAACCUGCUGUCCCUUCUGCAACGGGGCUUCCCUGA